UACAGAGGGGGCGAGCGUUGUUCGGAAUUACUGGGCGUAAAGGGCGCGUAGGCGGCCCGCUAAGUCGAACGUGAAAUCCCAGGCUCAACCUGGGAACUGCGUCCGAUACUGGCAGGCUUGAAUCCGGGAGAGGGAUGUGGAAUUCCAGGUGUAGCGGUGAAAUGCGUAGAUAUCUGGAGGAACACCGGUGGCGAAGGCGGCAUCCUGGACCGACACUGACGCUGAGGAGGCGAAAGCCAGGGGAGCAAAGCGGG
rnacentral:rRNA from 1 species